rnacentral:ncRNA from 1 species
UACCUGGUUGAUCCUACUAGUAGUCGUAUGCUUGUCUCAAAGAUUAAGCCAUGCAUGUCUAAGUAUGAACUAAUUUAGAUUGUGAAACUUUGGAUGGCUCAUUAAAUCAAUGAUAUUUUGUUUGAUGGUAUCAUACUACAUGAAUAACAGUAGUGAUUCUAGAGCUAAUACAUGCACCACAUCUCAACUCUUAGGAAGGGAUGCAAUUACUAGAUAAAAAUCUGAUGCAAAUUUUCUUGCUUCUAUGAUGAAUCAUGAUAACUCGAUAGAUCACAUGGCCCAUGGGUUACUGAUGAUUCAUUCAAAUUUCUUCCCUAUCAACUUUCAAUUUCAGGAUAGAGGCCUACCAUGGUGGUGAUGGGUGAUGGAGAAUUAGGGAUCGAUUCUAGAGAGAGAUAUUGAUAAAUGGAUACCACAUCCAAGGAGGAGAGUAAGAAUACAAAUUACCUAAUCCUAAGAUGAGGAGGUAAUGACAAUAGAUAACAAUAUUAGGCCCAUCAAGUUUAGUAACUGGAAUGAGAGAAAUAUAAAUUCCUUAGUGAGGAUUCAUUAGAGGGAAAUUCUAGUGCCAACGACCAUGGUAAUUCAAGAUCCAAUAGCAUAUACUUAAUUUGUUGCAUUUAAAAAUAUCAUAGUUGGAUCUUAGUUCAUGAAGGUUGGUUUGCAUAUUCAGUGUGCACCUUCCCUUUCAUCCCUUUUGUCGGCAGCAUGAUCCUGACCUUAAUUGGCUAGAUCAUAGUCUCGAUGUCAUUACUUCGAAAAAAAUUAGAGUGCCAAAAGAAAAAGUACGUUAUUAAUACAUUAGCAUGGAAUAAUGCAACAAGAGUCUAAUCCUAUUAUGUUGGCCUUUGGGACUAGAGUAACGAUUAAUAGGGAGUGUUGGGGGCAUUUGUAUUUCACGAUCAGAGGAAAAUUUCUUGGAUUUAUGAAAGACGAACCACUGUGACAAAAUUUUCCAAGGAUAAUUUCAUUAAUCAAUAAUGAAAGCUGAGGGCUCAAAGAAAAUCAGAUACCAUCCUUAUCUCAACUAUAAAUGAUGUUGGCUAGGGAUGAACCAAUGUUUCUCUAAGGACUCUACCAACACCUUCUAAGAAAUCAAAGCGUUUGAGUUCUAUGUCGAAUAUGGUCGCAAGGGUGAAACUAAAAUAAAUUAAUGGAAGGGCACCACUAGGAUUGGAUUCUAUGACUUGAAACAUGGGAAAAAUUACCAAGUCUUGACAUAGUAAGGAUUGAUAAAUGGAGAGCUCUUUCUCGAUUCUGUGGGUGGUAGUGCAUGGACAAAAUA